GGCAGUGUAGCAUAGUGGUAAGGAGCAGGGAGCAGGGCUCGUAACCAAAAGGUUGCUGGUUCGAUUCCGGCACUUCUGCUG